UACAGAGGGUGCGAGCGUUAAUCGGAAUUACUGGGCGUAAAGCGCACGUAGGUGGCGACGUAAGUCGGGUGUGAAAGCCCCGGGCUCAACCUGGGAAUUGCAUUCGAGACUGCAUUGCUGGAGUACGGAAGAGGAGGGCGGAAUUCCCGGUGUAGCGGUGAAAUGCGUAGAUAUCGUUUGGAACACCAAUAGCGUAGGCAGGCUUCUGGGUGCCACUUGACACUGCUAGGACGAAAGCGUGGGGAGCGAAUGGG
rnacentral:rRNA from 1 species